rnacentral:rRNA from 1 species
CUACGUGCCAGCAGCCGCGGUAAUACGUAGGGCGCGAGCGUUGUCCGGAAUUAUUGGGCGUAAAGAGCUUGUAGGCGGUUUGUCGCGUCUGCUGUGAAAGGCCGGGGCUUAACCCCGUGUAUUGCAGUGGGUACGGGCAGACUAGAGUGCAGUAGGGGAGACUGGAAUUCCUGGUGUAGCGGUGGAAUGCGCAGAUAUCAGGAGGAACACCGAUGGCGAAGGCAGGUCUCUGGGCUGUAACUGACGCUGAGAAGCGAAAGCAUGGGGAGCGAACAGGAUUAGAUACCCUGGUAGUCCAUGCCGUAAACGUUGGGCACUAGGUGUGGGGGACAUUCCACGUUUUCCGCGCCGUAGCUAACGCAUUAAGUGCCCCGCCUGGGGAGUACGGCCGCAAGGCUAAAACUCAAAGAAAUUGACGGGGGCCCGCMCAAGCGGCGGAGCAUGCGGAUUAAUUCGAUGCAACGCGAAGAACCUUACCAAGGCUUGACAU